rnacentral:rRNA from 1 species
UGGGGAAUUUUUGGACAAUGGGGGCAACCCUGAUCCAGCAAUGCCGCGUGUGUGAAGAAGGCCUUCGGGUUGUAAAGCACUUUUGUCCGGGAAGAAAUCCCCUGCCCUAAUACGGCGGGGGGAUGACGGUACCGGAAGAAUAAGCACCGGCUAACUACGUGCCAGCAGCCGCGGUGAUACGUAGGGUGCGAGCGUUAAUCGGAAUUACUGGGCGUAAAGCGUGCGCAGGCGGUGAUGUAAGACCGAUGUGAAAUCCCCGGGGCUCAACCUGGGGAACUGCAUUGGUGACUGCAUUGCUCGAGUAUGGCAGAGGGGGGUGGAAUUCCACGUGUAGCAGUGAAAUGCGUAGAGAUGUGGAGGAACACCGAUGGCGAAGGCAGCCCCCUGGGCCAAUACUGACGCUCAUGCACGAAAGCGUGGGGAGCAAACAGGAUUAGAUACCCUGGUAGUCCACGCCCUAAACGAUGUCAACUGGUUGUCGGGGCCUUCAUUUCCUUAGUAACGUAGCUAACGCGUGAAGUUGACCGCCUGGGGAGUACGGUCGCAAGAUUAAAACUCAAAUGAAUUGACGGGGUC